rnacentral:rRNA from 1 species
GAGUAUCAAUUGGAGGGCAAGUCUGGUGCCAGCAGCCGCGGUAAUUCCAGCUCCAAUAGCGUAUAUUAAACUUGUUGCAGUUAAAAAGCUCGUAGUUGAAUUUCUGCUGUUUCGUUGACUGCGGUUGGCGUUUGUCAUCGUUGCGGCUUGGUUGGGUUUCGAUUAUUCGUUUCCCGGCGUUUACUUUGAGAAAAUUAGAGUGCUUGAAGCAGGCUUUUGCCUUGAAUACUUUAGCAUGGAAUAACGGAGUAGGACUUUGGUUCUAUUUUGUUGGUUUUAGGAGCCAGAGUAAUGGUUAAUAGGAACAGUUGGGGGCAUUCGUAUUUGACUGUCAGAGG